UACGGGGGGGGCAAGCGUUGUUCGGAAUUACUGGGCGUAAAGGGCUCGUAGGCGGCCAACUAAGUCAGACGUGAAAUCCCUCGGCUUAACCGGGGAACUGCGCCUGAUACUGGAUGGCUUGAGGUUGGGAGAGGGAUGCGGAAUUCCAGGUGUAGCGGUGAAAUGCGUAGAUAUCUGGAGGAACACCGGUGGCGAAGGCGGCAUCCUGGACCAAUUCUGACGCUGAGGAGCGAAAGCCAGGGGAGCAAACGGG
rnacentral:rRNA from 1 species